rnacentral:siRNA from 1 species
UGUAUAGAACUUGGUACCACUA